UGAUUUAUUCACUUCCUAAAGUGUUUUUUGC
rnacentral:piRNA from 1 species